GUGCUUGCUUCGGCAGCACAUAUACUAAAAUUGGAACGAUACAGAGAAGAUUAGCAUGGAAAUCUAUGGAGGAAUUAAUGCAAGAAAAUAUUAUUUAUUCUU